UACGAGAGGUGCAAACGUUAUUCGGAUUUAUUGGGCGUAAAGGGUGUGUAGGCGGUCUAUUAAGUCUGCUGUUAAAUUUCUCGGCUUAACCGAGAGCAAGCAGUAGAUACUGAUGAACUAGAGGAUGGAAGAGAGAAGUGGAAUUCUUGGAGUAGCGGUAAAAUGCGUAGAUCUCAAGAGGAACACCGAUGGCGAAGGCAGCUUCUUGGUCCAUUCCUGACGCUGAGACACGAAAGCGUGGGGAGCAAAC
rnacentral:rRNA from 1 species